GAUGAACGCUGACAGAAUGCUUAACACAUGCAAGUCAACUUGAACUUCGGUUUGGGUGGCGGACGGGUGAGUAACGCGUAAAGAACUUGCCUCACAGUUAGGGACAACAUUUGGAAACGAAUGCUAAUACCUGAUAUUAUGAUUUUAGGGCAUCCUAGAAUUAUGAAAGCUAUAUGCGCUGUGAGAGAGCUUUGCGUCCCAUUAGCUAGUUGGAGAGGUAACGGCUCACCAAGGCGAUGAUGGGUAGCCGGCCUGAGAGGGUGAACGGCCACAAGGGGAAUGAGACACGGCCCUUACUCCUACGGGAGGAAGCAGUGGGGAAUAUUGGACAAUGGACCAAGAGUCUGAUCCAGCAAUUCUGUGUGCACGAUGAAGUUUUUCGGAAUGUAAAGUGCUUUCAGUUGGGAAGAAAAAAAUGACGAUACCAACAGAAGAAGUAACGGCUAAAUACGU
rnacentral:rRNA from 1 species